rnacentral:rRNA from 1 species
AACGAACGCUGGCGGCAUGGAUUAGGCAUGCAAGUCGAAUGAAUGCCAUUUGGGAAACUGGAUGGCGGAAAUGGCGAAAGGGGCAGUAAUACAUGGACAACCUACCCUGGGGUUGGGCAUAGCCGUUCUAACGAGCGGGUAAUUCCCAGCGAGUCGGCGUGGUGGCAUCAUCGUGCCGGGAAAGAAUUUCGCCUCGGGAGGGGUUCAUGAGCUAUCAGCUAGUUGGCGGGGUAACGGCCCACCAAGGCUUAGACGGCUAGCGGGUGUGAGAGCACGACCCGCGCCACUGGCACUGAGACACUGGCCAGACACCUACGGGUGGCUGCAGUCGAGGAUCUUCGUCAAUGGGCGCAAGCCUGAACGAGCGAUGCCGCGUGAGCGAUGAAGGCCUUCGGGUUGUAAAGCUCAAAAGAAGCGAGAAAGGGAAACUUGAUCAAGCUUCAGUAAGCUCGGGCUAAGUUCGUGCCAGCCGCCGCGGUAAUAC